UGGAGGAUCUAGCAAUGUCUGU
rnacentral:miRNA from 1 species